UGCAUGCAAGUGAGUUAUUUUUUUGUUAUCUGUGUCGCGUGGGAGUUUGAAGGGAAGUAAAAUAUUGAAGUGUUUGAGUGAAGUUUGAAUUCGGUUGUUGAGGGAAUGUGGUGGACGAUUUUUGGGGAGUUUGAGAGAUAGUGGGAGUGUGGUGGACUGUUUUUAGGAGAAAAAUAAGGGAUUACUGGUGGUUAUCGGAUAUUCUGUCAGUCUUUUCGUUUUAAUUUUUUUCCCAAAAAAAUCUGCACGUUUUCCCUUCCAUUAUCCCUAUCGAAUUCUCCUCUUCCGUUUCUCUUUCUUUUUGUGUUAG
rnacentral:lncRNA from 1 species